UGCGGCUCCUGCGCUUGCGCUGCCAGCGCCAUUCGUUGCCCGACCGCCCGCCCGCCCGCCCGGGGGGAGGGAGGGAUGAGGAGAGCGGUGCGUGGCGCAGGGCAGCCGGCAGCCGAGAGAGAGGGGCAGAGAGCGGCCUGAGUGGCACCAGGGCCGUCCCGCCGCACCUAGCCCGGGGAGGCGCUCGGCGCAAAGGCGGCCCCGCGGAGCCCCCUCUUUCUUUCCCUGGGCGGCGCAGGAAGGGCAUGGCCGGGGGGGCGCCAGAAGGGCGGGCGGCGCUGCCGGCUGGGUCCGGCCCGGGGCGCGCCUGAGCGAGCCGGGCAGGCAGGCAGGCAGGGGCGUCGGCGGCGGGGGCGCGCGCGUCUGGCCUGGCCUGGCCUCCUCCUCCUUCUCCUCCUCCUGCUGGCCGGGCCCGCGCCCGCCGCCUCCCAUGCAGCCGCAGCAGCAGCAGCAGCAGCAGCAGCCUGACUCAGCUGCAGCCGCCGCCGCGGCCAGGAAGAUGGCGCACCCGGCCCUGCUCCCCCGGGCGGGCGGGGGCAGCCUGGAGGAGCCCCAGCUUCCCGCCGCCGCCCCCCCGCAGAGCCUGGCGCUGGUGGGUCCUUCGGGGGUCGCGGCGGCGGCGGCGGCGGCCCAGCAGCAGCAGCAGCUGAAGAAGAAGAGCGGCUUCCAGAUCACGAGCGUGACGGCGGCGGCGGCGGCGGGGGGUGGGGGUCCAGGGGGCGCGCCAGUGUCUGCCAGCCUGAGCUCGAGCAACAGCGUGGCCGAGGACACCGAGAGCUACGACGACCUGGACGAGUCGCACACCGAGGACCUCUCCUCCUCCGAGCUGCUCGACGCCUCCCUCUCGCGCGCCACCGACCGCGGCCCCGAGCGCAGCUCCUCCGAGGAGACCCUCAGCAACUGCCACGACGCCGACACCCCCGGCGCCCUCUCCCCCAACCAGCCCCGCGCCCCCGCCGCCCCCCACCUCAACGGCGCCCCCCACCCCGCCCCUCGCCAGCCCCUCGCCCAGCCCCACCGUGCCGCCGCCAUGCCCCCACCCGCCGCCGGCCCCCUGCCCACCAGGGGCGCGCCUGGCAACGGCCCCGCCACCCCCAGUGGUGGCAGUGGCCCAGCUGUGGCCUCGGGCGGCGCCUCCCGCUUCCGCGUGGUCAAGCUAGACUCGAGCUCAGAGCCCUUUCGCAAGGGCCGCUGGACCUGCACCGAGUUCUACGACAAGGAGGGCCUGGAGGCUGGGGCCCCGCUGCCACCCAGCAAGGCUGGGCACCACCCGCCUGACAACACUGCCUCCGAGAGGGACAGCACCAGUGGCAGCUCCGUCAGCAGCGUUCUCAGCACCCUCAGCCACUACACUGAGAGCGCCGGCAGCGGGGACAUGGGCGCCCUGGCCUCGCAGCUCCCCACGGACCAGGCGCACCAGGCUGGCUCGCAGCCCCAGCUGCACCCGGACCCUGGCUACACAGCACAAAAGCUGCCCUCCGCUGUCCUGCCACCCCCUUCACAGGCCACUGUGCCACCACAGCAGCUACCCUAUGUCCAGCCUGCGCCACCCGUGCCGGUCGCAGCACAGCUGCCACAGUUGUCCUACGGAGGACCGGGCCAUGUCAAAGCAGCAGCAGCAAACCCUAAUCCUCUCCCUGCGACUGACUAUGCCCAUCCUCAGCAGAUGCUUCCAGCUCCAGUAUCCUCUGUGCAGCCUGGCGCUCCCGUGGUAGGAACGGGGACGCCUUUGCCCGCCGCUCCACCCUCAAGCGGGCAGCCUUCCGGACUGGCACACCUGCCCGUGGCACCCACUCAACCUGUUGCAUGUGCCCAAAUGGCAGUUGGUACCGGUGUUCAAAUGAUGAGUGCUGCGCCACCUGCGGUGCCACAGACGCUGGUUGCCAAUCCGAUGGCCCCGCCAGUGAUGCCGCAAAAUGCUGCCCCUUCCCAGGCUGGCUCGUCCAUUCCCACAGGGGUGAUUCUGCCUGGGUCGCAGGCCAGCACGUCCAACCUCCCGCAGCCGCUGGUGAUGGCCUCGCACACGACUCUGCUCCCAGCCCAGCCACAGUUGCAGCCGGGAGAGUCCCUUGUGCCAGGGGUGGCUGGUCAGCAGGGCCCUGCGGUUAGUCCUGGGGCCGCCAUCGGUGCUGUGCCCAUUUCUGGCCAUUGUGCUCUUCCUCCCGUCGGCUUAGCACCCUCACAGAGUGUAGCGCUGUCUUCAGGUGUGCAGAAUGAGGGCUUGGUUCAAAAGCUCCCCCAGUCUUCAUUGACGGCCAUGGGCAUCCAUUUGCCCAUGUCUCAGAACUCUGCUCUGAACGCUGCCCAGUUUGCCGCACGGGCUCUCGCUCAGUCAUCAGCCGGCCGAGGUGAAGAAGCCAGGCGCUCCGCAGACCCUUUCCUGGUGGGCAUUGCCAGUGCCGGAAUCCCCUCAGCCCUUUUGGAUGGGUCUGGCAGCAUGGCAGCCUCCCUCUUUCCCCUGAAGGGCCUCCCGCUGACUGCGCAGCUCAUGGAUGGGGAGGAUGACGGUUGUUUCUUCUAAUUCUAAAACUCUCUUAACCUCUGACUGGAGGAAUGAAUGGAGCAUUGACUUCUUCCGAAGCACCAGAGAACCGUUUCUGCCCCGCCCUUAGAGGCUGCCACGAAGGAUGCAUCCCAUAACUUAAAUGCAGAUCGGAGCACAGUCCUCCCUCCAUACAGUUUCCUGUGGACUGUAAACAUCAGAAGAUGACAGGAAAUGCCAACGAUGGAUGGAAUUAUUACUGAAUCUGCUCACUCCAGUUUGAAGAAAGAGUUACUGGAUCAUACUCUCAAGCAGUAGCAAAAGGGCGUCCUCCUCCUCCCCGCCCACCCCUUCAAGGUUUCUUUCAGAUUCUCCUCUAUGGGAGAUUCUCUUGUUGGCCAGGUUUUUUUUCUCUUUUCGUUGCCUAAAUGCCAUUUGGAAGCAGUGUGGUGGGAAGGUACCUUCACCGUCUCCAGCUGCCUGAAACUCUAGAUUGGUCUGUUAGACUCUGCAAUUAACCAUAAUUUGUCCAUUUUUGCUUUAUUAAUUUUAUAACCAGAUAAAAAUUAUACCCUAAACAUUAAAAUUUUUCUAGUAGAAUUAAAAAGGACUGUUGAAGUGAGCAGAAUAUUAGCUUGGAUCCAUCAUGAGGUUUUUUCCCACACUUCCACUCAUGCUGCAGGGACCUUCGUGAAUGUGGAAAUCUUCUCUUAGGAGGCAGGAGGACAUCUGCUGCUGUGUGGGUGAUUCUCCACUCCUUCACUGGGAGGCAGGAACUUCAAAUUUCCUCUUCCUGUGCGGAGCUUGGGCGCCAUCUUAGCCAGUACUUUUUCCUGCCUCUCAGGGAGAGCACGAACUUGGGCUAGGCGCCCAAUUCUUCUGCUGAUUUUUCUGUAUUUUUUCAAUCCUCUUUGCCCUUUCUCUUCAGCUUUCUUCUCCUCCCCCCCCCCCUUCUAGCGGCUUUUCUCCAGCCGCUUUUUCCUGCCAAAUUUCCCUGCCGCAAUUAUUCAGCCCAGGUCCUUCUCCCCUGCCCGGGAGACCUUCACAAGAUCCGCUGCAGAGGCCACCCGAGUGGCGGCAGCCAGAGCGGCUCCACUUCCCUUCGGAGGCCAUCAGGCUGACUGGGAGGGAAGCAAUGCAGCAACCUGCUCCCGAGGCCGUCAGGCCGACUGAGAGCUGGGCAACAGUUCUCCUCCGAGUGGUCGUCAGGCCGUCUCCGGAGAGGGCAGAGCCACUCGUCUAGGAGGACACCCGGUUGGGCCAGCAGAGGGAGCUGCAGUGCAGGGCCAGCAACCUCCAAAAAAGUGUGCUCAGAAGUGAAAGCACACGGAGGCUUCAGCCACCCAGAUGACAAAAAAGGGAAAAGGCUCCAGCUGUUGCAGAGACCCAAUCCCCUCAGAGGCUCCGACGGGGACCAGCUCUUCCAGCCCCAGGCAAGAGGGAUCCUUACAGCAGGGGAAUGGGGAGGAUGUGGAGGAGGUUUCCCCCAACUUAACCCACAGUAGCUCUGGACUCAUCCAGGGACUGUCUAGGAAUGACCUGGUCUCCCUCUUCCAACAGUCCAUUUCCAGGCCAGAGAGGGUAGACCUGCCCAACGAGUGGUAGCCCUGGCCUCCAGGAGGGUAGCUCUGGACUCCAAGGAGGUAGCCCUGGCCCCUGUGAGGGUAGACCUGGACUUCCCAGUAACCAACCUUUAAACAGAACACAUUCUCCUUCACCCCCUGCCAGUGACAGAGGGGAUGCUUCUCAAUUAGACCCAUUAUGGGCUCCAGAUAUUCAAGAAGGGGUGGAGCUAGAACACAAAAAAAAUUUCUGAUACAAAAGAUCUGGAUCUUUCAGAACAUUUCCUCAGAUUUUUCAAGGUAGAGAAUCUUCCUUUUCUUAUAGCCAAGACCAUCUCAGCUCUUGACCUCCAAGACCCGGCAGAUGCUGUGGACCCCACAGGCCCCCCAUCUGGCGCUGCUCCAGUCAAGGUUCCAGUCAAGCACAUUUGUCUGAAACGUUUCCCCAUGGAAACCGUACACAGCAUCUCAGAGGUGCUUCACCCGGGGGACUUUCUGGCUUCCUUGGACCUGACAGAGGCCUAUCUCCAUGUCCCCAUACGUCUGGCACAUCACCAAUACCUACGCUUUGAGGUCAACAAUCAGCAUUACCAGUUUCAGGCCCUUCCCUUUGGGCUAGCUCCUGCCCGUUUGUGUUUUCCAAGGUGUUACUAACACCCAUCAUUCUCCUCAGGGAAAAGGGAGUAGACGUGUUUCCUUACCUUGACAACAUUCUUGUGUGUUCCAACUCCAGAAGUCAGGCCCACCAAGACGUAAACCAGGUGUUGUUGGUCCUAGAUCACCACGGAUUCUUGAUCAACAGAGAAAAGAGCUCCUUGGUCCCCUCCCAACUGAUGGAACACCUGGGAGUCCUAAUCGACACCAACAAAGGUGCCUUCUUUCUUCCAGAGAAAAAGAUUCAGAAAAUCCAGCUUCUCGUGUCCCAGGUCAUCUCAGCCUGAAGAUUCCCUUUGCUACAACUGGCAAGUCUCAUGGGCCUACUUAUUGCCUCCAUAGACAUAGUAAAGUGGGGUCGGAUGCAUACCAGGACCUUGCAACUUUACCUCCAAUCGUACCAGGCGGACGUCAUGUACAAACAAGACCGCCUGCUUACCAUUACAACCUCACUAUGGAACAGCCUUUGCUGGUGGACCUCCAAGAGGAACCUCAGUCAAGGGAAGGUGUUCCUACCCCCGGAACAAGCUCAAAUCUACACGAAUGCAAGCCUCCAGGCCUGGGGAGCAACCCUGGGGACCCAAAUAGCCCAAGGAAUCUGGACAGCCGAGCAGUCACGUCUCCCCAUCAAUAUCCUAGAAACACGGGCAAUCCUUCUGGCUCUUCAGCACUUUCAAUAUCUCAUCAGACAUCGACACAUACUGGUACAGACGGACAAUGUUUCUGCAAAAUUUUAUAUCAACAACCAGGGAGGAUCACGAUUAACACAGCUUCAUCGUCAGACAACAAUUAUUCUCUCUUGGGCAGAACAACAUCUGCUAUCCCUACAAGCAGAACACAUCAGGGGGUGCUUCAACACCUAGGCAGACUGGCUCAGUCGACAGCAGAUUGUAGAGGCAGAGUGGUCCUUCAACUGCUCUGUCUUUCUGGAACUAACCAACAGAUUCAGCAGUCCCUAACUGGACCUGUUCGCCACCACGACCGACUCACACACUCCCCAGUUCAUGUCUUGCUUCCGGCAUCCAAAGGCCUUGGCAAUCAACACCCUCUCAGCUCCUUGACCCCCUGGGCUACUGUACACCCUCCCACCGACUCCAGUCAUCCCCAGGCUUCUGAGGAGGAUCUCCAAAGAGAAGGCGACAGUCAUCUUGGUCUGGUUUUUGGCACUGGUUUUCGGCACUGAGGGAACCAGCAGUGGAACAUCCAUACCCAUUACCUCAGAUUCCAGACCUACUGAUGCAAGGACCCAUAUGCCACCCCAACCCAGGAUGGCUGCGACUGACCACGUGGCACUUGAAAGGCGCCUCCUCUUGAGUAAAGGCUAUUCACCUAAGGUGACCGAAACCUUGCUUACUUCAUGCCACCCAGCAACCAACAGGAUCUACAAUGCCUCUUGGAGGGCCUUUCUAUGCUGGUGUCAACCCAAGGGAGUCAAUUCAGAGAACCACUCUAUCCCAGACAUCCUUGAAUUUCUGCAGAGUGCUUUUGACAAUGGUUUACUCAGUGCCACACUGCGUUGUCAAAUAGCUGCCCUCUCUAUAGUGUGACCACUCAUACAUGGAGUCCCAGCCACACGGCACCAGGAUGUGGUACACGUUCUUCGGGGUGGGGGUGGCACAAUCUCAGACCCCCAUUCAACAUUGUUUUCCAUCUUGGCGACUUCACUCAUUUCUCUCGGCAUUGACACACUGGCCCUUUGAACCUAUCCGGUCCAUCCACCUUAAAUGGCUACGGAUGGAGACACUGUUCCUAGUGGCUGUUACAUUGGCCAGAAGGUUUCUGAAUUGUGGGCCUUGUCUGUCAACCCGAACCUUUGCAUCUUCCACAAGGACAGGUUGGUACUCAGAACUGAUCUACCUUCUGACCGAAGGCUAGUUCUGUGUUCCAUGUCAAUCAACCGGUAAUUCUACCUACUUUUUGCUCUCAACCCUCAUCGGAGAGUGAGAGACUGUGGCAUAACUUGGAUGUCAGAUGCUCCCUGAAGGCCUUCAUACUUCUCCCUGAAGGCCUUCAUACUUCCUUUAAUGUCUCCGCACCGAACUUAGGAGGUCAGAUGUCUACUGCAGCGAUCUGUUCUGCCCUCAAGUCCUGCAUAGUCGAAGCCUACAAAGCUGGAAACCUACCGGUACCCCCCAGCAUCACAGCACACUCCAUUAGGAGCACGGCCACCAACGCUGCUCUUCGUCAUCAGGCAUCCAUGGAAGAAAUCUGCAGAGCUGCCAUUUGGUCAUCAUCCUCCACGUUUGUCAGACAUUCAGUCCUGGUCAACUGCUCAGACGGCCUUCGGCUGAAGAGUUCUUGACCAUGUCUCCACAGACUAACGACGUCCCACCCUACAGGGACACUGCUCUACGAGGUCCCACACAGCAGAUGUCCUUCGCCUCCAGGAAAUGGUCUAUUGGACUCUUACCUGAAGGGUCCUUCUCCUAGAAGGCAGGAGGACAUCUGGGCCCUCCCUUCUCAUUAGUCCUGUACUGUUGCUCCAUAUGGCUGUUUUUUCCUGUUGUUAAUGUUACUGUCAUUUUUUGCGUUGAGCUCUUUUUCAAGUUUACAAGGUUUAGAGGUAGUUAGUAGUUACUGCUAGGCCAAAGGCAUACUGGCUAAGAUGGUGCCCAAGCUCAGCACAGGAAGAGGAAAUUUGAAGUUCCUGCCUCCCGGUGAAGGGGUGGAGAAUCACCCACACAGCAGCAGAUGUCCUCCUCCCUUCUAGGAGAAGGACCCUUCAGGUAAGAGUCCAAUGGGCCGUUCUGGUGGAUCCAAGCCAUCAUCUGCACAUAGUCUUCACUCCGUAAUUAUCCUUCAUCAGUCUUGCCAAAGCUGCCAAGGGUUUGGUAGAAAUUGUAAAGGAUAUUACUAACAAAAGACACCCCUGAUGGCAUCGCAUGGGAAACUGAAAAGUUUAUAGAGCUUGUAUUUGAAAAUUAGCUUUUGUAAUAACUCCUUUAACAUUAAACUUUGUAUUGAUUAA